GACGAACGCUGGCGGCGUGCCUAAUACAUGCAAGUUGAGCGCUGAAGGUUGGUACUUGUACCGACUGGAUGAGCAGCGAACGGGUGAGUAACGCGUGGGGAAUCUGCCUUUGAGCGGGGGACAACAUUUGGAAACGAAUGCUAAUACCGCAUAAAAACUUUAAACAAAAGUUUUAAGUUUGAAAGAUGCAAUUGCAUCACUCAAAGAUGAUCCCGCGUUGUAUUAGCUAGUUGGUGAGGUAAAGGCUCACCAAGGCGAUGAUACAUAGCCGACCUGAGAGGGUGAUCGGCCACAUUGGGACUGAGACACGGCCCAAACUCCUACGGGAGGCAGCAGUAGGGAAUCUUCGGCAAUGGACGAAAGUCUGACCGAGCAACGCCGCGUGAGUGAAGAAGGUUUUCGGAUCGUAAAACUCUGUUGGUAGAGAAGAACGUUGGUGAGAGUGGAAAGCUCAUCAAGUGACGGUAACUACCCAGAAAGGGACGGCUAACUACGUG
rnacentral:rRNA from 1 species